GUUUCUGCUGCAGCUUGCAUUCCUGCUGCAAGGGCCUCCUCUUCAGACAGCCUUUGCCAGAGCAGAACUUUUCAAAAUGCUACAAAUAGGAUCUUCUUUUUUUCUCCUUUAUUUAACCCUUCUCCUUUAAAAAAAAAAAAAUGGGACUAAUUUUUCUUGUUUUCGGUGCUGUGCUUGGCUGUACAGUAUAUCGCAAUGUUGAGGUUAAAGCUACAAGUAUUUCUACCACCACCCCCGCUGAUCCAUUUUUUUUCCGUCUUGGUUAAAGAAAUUGAUUUAUUUGACUGAGCAAUGAAUCAGGAUUUGCUAGUUUGUAUGCUUCUCCUAUUGUUGUUGCUGGGAGCUGGCAGCCAGGGGUAGUUGUGGCAGGGAAAGCAUGUGGACGAAAAGCUGGAACCCGUUGCUAGGAGACUGCAGAACUGCAAGGUGAACAUAUUGGCAUCCUCUCUCCAUAUCUGGUCCCUGAGGCUUGUUUCCCACCAUUCACAGGUAUAUUAGUCUGAAGAUAUGGGCGCAACCUCCCUAGAAAGAACAUGAAAUUUAUGGCACCAUAAUUAUUCCUGUUUUAAACUAACAAACCACAUCUCAAUCUUCAUCUAAGACACAAACUGAAACCUAAAAUGAGGGAAGAUUUUUUUCAUUGACACUAUCUGCAGGCAUUCUGGGAAAGCUGCUUUGAAAUUUUAAAGGCCCUCAGAAGUUGUACCAACCAGAAUCCACUCUCAACUACCUUGGGCAUGUGCCUGCUCUGAUGUCACAGAUAACAGAAAAGGGACCGUGCUGCAGCAUAGAUCUGGAGGUUAGCGGCAAACAACCGGGAAACUGAUUUUUCAUUAAAAACAGACUUUUCUACUUUAUGAAAGGAAGUGUGAUGUAUUGCGAAUCUGUGUCAAGCUAUCUAUGGAAGUCUCACUAAUAGAAAUUAAAAAAAUGAAAGAAGUUCGACUGGUCUUCUAUACAGAGGAAUUGACAAGAUUUCUCAUCUCUUCUGAAUUUUGGCCUAGUUCUGAUUUCUGAAAACUACCAUCUGAUCAUCAUCAUUUUCUACCAUUGAGAUCACAGAAACACACGAGAGCGUGAGCUUGUUCUGCGGCUGCUGCUAUCAGUCGUACGUGUCAUGCUUGGCAGCAAUGUUAUAUUUGGGCAGAAAUCCCAUCAGGACUAAUGCAACAAAUCAACUGAUAAGUAAGUAGUCGUAAAGAUUAUGCUAGAAAAUUCAUGGAUGAUAAAUCGUAUAAAACAAAUAGCCCAUAAUAAAUUAAACAAUUUUACUUUAUAAAGCUUAAAGUGUCCCGUUAAAUUGUUA